GACCGAUAGCAAACAAGUACCGUGAGNGANAGUUGCAAAGAACUUUGAAGAGAGAGUUCAAGAGUACGUGAAACUGCUCAGAGGUAAACGGGUGGGCCCUCGAAAUCCUGUGGCGAGAGGAUUCAGUCUGGUUCGGCGGACGCGGUGGCGGAAUUCAGCAGAGCUUCCCCGGAACGGGGGCCGUCUGCCGCUGCGCCUUUCGUCGUUCCAGACGCAUUUGUCUCUCGUCCGAAGGACGCCGCAGCCGGUUCGGAAGUGCAAGCGUGACGGCCUGAAGGUCGGGAAAUGGCAGGUGGCCGGUGGCUCGCUUCGUGCGGGUCGUCGGUUGUUAGCCGUCCCGUCAGUGGCCCGUCUCCGGACCGAGGUGUCGCGAGUCCCUCGGGACUCCACGUCUCCGCCCCCGUGCUGCGGGAUAGAUCUCGGCAGGAGCGUUCAGCCCGGCGUCCGCACGCCUGACGCGUGGGAAGGCCGGGCACAGCUCUCUGAUGGUCGAGGCGAGGCCCGCGGGGGACAGGAGGCUGGCGGCGAGUAGGUCGGUCACCCACCCGACCCGUCUUGAAACACGGACCAAGGAGUCUAACAUGUGCGCGAGUCAAUGGGUCUUGAACAGGCCCAGGGGCGCAAUGAAAGCGAAGCGCGGACGAGUGCCGUGCGUGCGGGGAUCCCUCCUCUCCGGAGGGGGGCGCACCCGCGACCCGUUCUGUGCCGCUCGCGGCUUGGGCGGAGUCUGAGCGUACACGUUGGGACCCGAAAGAUGGUGAACUAUGCCCGGACAGAAUGAAGCCAGAGGAAACUCUGGUGGAGGUUCGCAGCGGUUCUGACGUGCAAAUUCGAUCGUCAGAUCCGGGUAUAGGGGCGAAAGACUAAUC
rnacentral:rRNA from 1 species